rnacentral:lncRNA from 1 species
CUCUCUCUCUCUCUCUCUCUGUCUCUCCCCGUCCCCCUUUCUCUCUGUCUUUUUCAGAGAAUGACUGGCUGCCCAGCUUGAGGGAGUGCAGUCAUCAGAUAGCCUCAAGGUGUCAGCUCCAUUAGGGUUUGUCUCAGCUGCCAAGAGACGUCUUGCUGGAGAAAACCUGUUCCAGGAAUGACAUUAAACCUUUCUUUUGAAUAUUUUUACUGGAGCAAGUCUUUCCUCAUUU